rnacentral:rRNA from 1 species
CAGUAGCCGCGGUAAUACGUAGGGUGCGAGCGUUAAUCGGAAUUACUGGGCGUAAAGCGUGCGCAGGCGGUUAUAUAAGACAGAUGUGAAAUCCCCGGGCUCAACCUGGGACCUGCAUUUGUGACUGUAUAGCUAGAGUACGGUAGAGGGGGAUGGAAUUCCGCGUGUAGCAGUGAAAUGCGUAGAUAUGUGGAGGAAUACCGAUGGCGAAGGCAGCCCCCUGGGAUAACACUGACGCUCAUGCACGAAAGCGUGGGGAGCAAACAGGAUUAGAUACCCGAGUAGUCCCUGUCUCUUAUAU